GCGCGAAAACUUUACAAUGCUGGCAACAGCGAUAAGGGAACCUCGAGUGCCAGGUUACAAAUCUGGCUGUCGAGAUGCCUAAAAAGCAUUUCAUAGCAAGGGCCGGGCAAGACCGGUGCCAGCCGCCGCGGUAACACCGGCGGCUCGAGUGGUAACCGUUAUUAUUGGGUCUAAAGGGUCUGUAGCCGGCCGGAUAAGUCUCUUGAGAAAUCUGGCAGCUUAACUGUCAGGCUUUCAGGAGAUACUGUCUGGCUCGAGGCCGGGAGAGGUGAGAGGUACUUCAGGGGUAGGGUGAAAUCUUGUAAUCCUUGAAGGACCACCAGUGGCGAAGGCGUCUCACCAGAACGGACCUGACGACAAGGGCGAAAGCUAGGGGCACGAACCGGAUUAGAUACCCCG
rnacentral:rRNA from 1 species